rnacentral:pre_miRNA from 1 species
CCAACAUUUAGACCGUCGGUCUACCAAAUAAAUUCAACCGCUCGGUGGAAGACUUUCCCUUUGUCGU